UUGUAGAUUAUCCCUGCACCAGUUAAAGUUGGAGAAAACGAACCCCCACCAUCCUGGGACCUUGUACCCUCUCCAAGAGCUAGUAAAUGCACUGUCGGAGCUUAUCAGCAGGCCAUUACCGGAACAUGCUUGACAACAUUCAGGAUUUAGUUCUUUAUUUGGCAUCGGACCAUAGGAAGGAUGUAUGGAAACAUGACGCUUUUAUGCUGGGCCGCUGGUGCACUGCCAAAGGCAAUCUGCAUUUCUCGCAUUUAAGUUUUAGAACCUGACCAUCUUGUUGAAAUGUUGAGCCAGCCAUAAAAAUCUAAUAUUGAAACCCGAGGAGGCCGUUGUGUCCAUAUUCUGCUAAUAACGACACAUAUUGCUGGAGGGGAUGGUUGGUGCAUUGUUAAGAACCGAGGGUAACUUAAUAUCAACUGAUGAUUUUUCA